CUUAAUGGUAACAUAAAUGUAUAAACCGGCAAUUUAGAGAAUCAGAUAUAACGAAGGAAAGAAUUGAGAAAAUCUUGACAGCAGGAGCGAAUGUCGUGCUUGUGAGUGGUGGUAUAGACGAUCUGUGUUUGAAAUAUUUCGUGGAAGCCGGAGCGAUGGCCAUAAGACGAUGCAAGAAACAAGAUCUGAAGAGAAUCGCACGUGCAACUGGAG